ensembl:lncRNA
UGAAGAUAAAACCAAUGCAGAUUUUAUUUGGUAUAAAACAAAGAUACACACACACAUACCAAAACCACUUUUACUGAGCACAUGCUAUCCAUUUUUUACAAACAUUAACGUAUUUGGCCAAAUCAGAAUAGAAGGCAGAGGUAAAAACAAAACACAAGGGGCAUCCUCUACACAGAGGUCAUUUCCUCUACCCAAAUUAGAGUUCCUGUCCCAAAGCACUGAAGUGACCAAUGAUUACAAAGAAACAGCUUUGAGAAUCUGAACAUAGGCAAAAGGCCACAACAUUCUAACCCUGGGUUCAAAAGAACGUGCACUGUUAGGACUGAAGUUCCCCACAGAGACUUAAACCUUAAGCCCAAGAUGAAAAGUUUCAGCCUAUGUACAAUUGAAGUUUGGCAAAGUUGGACAAUCAGAAACAGAGAAACAAAUUUGAAAGCACCAGGAAAAGACACAAUUCCCAUUUACCAACACCAAGAAACGAUGCUGCAGGUACCAUAGGUCAACAGCAGAGCUUAAUGCCUCAGUGCUGAAAGGAAGGAAGGAAGGAAGAAUUUCCCGGCACUCAAUACCCUGACAAACUCUAAGGACUAAAGCAUUAAGAGGCUUCCAGCCCACUGUCCAGAGCCAAGACUGCCAGAGGUACACCCCAAGAGAGAGCAACAGGCCUCAAGUCACUGAAACCCACCACCUCAAAGAGUUUGGAUUUAACAUUCAUCCCCUUAAACCACAGACAAAAGGACAACCUGGGCCCCAGCCCCUCACUCACACACACAAACACACAGGUAGCCAGUGAGGUGCUGAAAACUUCCAUGAGUGCAAGAUUUGCUUUGACAGAUGUAUUUUUCCCAUAUCCUUCUCCAUGGCAGUAGGUGUCACAUUAAAUAGGAAUGGCAAAAUAACAUGUAAGGUAGUCCCAGUGCUGCACGGGUCGCAGGGUGAUCCUGAGUGAUGACAUGCACCUUCUUACUGUCCCCAUGCUCCAGACACAUCAGAGUCACAGCAGCAACUCUUUGUGUUCCAGAAAGGAACAGAACAUGCCAUCAGCCUUUUUGGAUCUUAGUGUUUCAGGAGCUCAGUUCUUCACGGAAAUGCUGUUUAAGUGAAUUAUUGUAAUACACCCUGAAAUUCUGUGCUGCUUUUUUUAACAUCAAGCUUACUAAAAGUGGUGAUACUUAGAACUUAAUGUAGUAGCUUGCAACUUUUCUUGAUGCACAGACUGAUGGGGGUGCUAAAAUGACCCAUGCAAUAAGAAACCUGGAGAGGGACUUUUCACAAGCGCCUGUAGUGACAAGACAAGGCGGAAUAGCUUUAAACUGACAGAGGGAAGAUUUAGAUCAGAUACAACAAAGAAGUUCUCCACUAUGAGGGUGCUGAGGCGCUGGCACAGGGUGCCCAGAGAAGUUGUGGCUGCCCCAUCCCUGGCAGUGUUCAAGGCCAGGUUGGACGGGGCUUGGAGCAACCUGGUCUAGUGGAAGGUGUCCCUGCCCAUGGCAGGGGGUUGGAACUGGAUGAUCUUUAAGGUCCCUUCCAAUCCAUUCUAUGAUUCUAUGAAAUACCUAACUCCAUGACUGUUCUAACACUCUAGCACUAGAUACUGCAACUAUUUCUAUUGUAUCUGAAGUACGCAAGUACAUGCCACAGAUAACUACAAGGACUCUGUCAGUAAUGCUCUAGGGAGAAAACGGCAGGGGCCAAGUAUAUCUUGACCCUGGACUUUCAGCAUUUCUCACAAGUAUGUCACUACAGUUGUCUCCCCAAAAGCAGCUGUUUAAAUACGGAUAUAAUGUUGUAAGAGAGACAUUAACAGUUCUGGUGUGGAAAUAUCACAGCCUUUUAUGAACAAUUACAGUACUCAAGUUUCUACCUCCUGUAAGGCAGACACAUGAUGACCAGAAGUAAAGUAAAAACAGACAAGAGAAAUAAGUCUUGUGAGCAUUUGUCAGUUUUGUUCCCCACUAGCUGUUAAUUCAUUACAUUUAAUGUAGCACAAGUAGGUGUUUUUCCCAAAUCUCAGUAUGAACGACUAAAAGCUCGUGGCUCAGACCUUUUGAUUCUAAGCUUGCCAAGUUCGGCUUGGCUAUAAAAUGCGUUUAUUAUUCCCUUGCUUAACAUGCCAUCCUCUGCUCUAAUAGAUGCAGUUAUGGUUUCGUUUUCUACAUCAUUUAGUAGAACUGGGACUUUACUUCAAAAUCUCAGUUGAGCCCAGUAACAGUAAAAAAGCUGGUGAUGGAGCCAUGAACGUCCAGCUGCUCUCAAAAUGCAGUUUAACCACAGGUGUCCUGCUUUCAGCAAGCUCUGCUUACUUCCAAAGACCUCUGCCCAUGAAACUGCAUGCUGGUCGUCCCAGUCAGACCUGUUUCGGUCUUUUCUGCUAAGUACCAACACUGACAUUCGACACUACAUUAUUUUUUUCCUUCAAGGAAUGAGUUUCAAGGCCGGUAAGUGCAUGCUGUAAGCAUCCUGAACAAUGCUUUCCAACACCAUCAAAACACUUUGAGGAGAAAAAUGGAAUGCAUUUGUUGGAGAGCCCUAGUUGUCCUCCUUAGGCAGCGGAAUUUUAGAAAGCCUUCUAGUGACUGACGCACACUCAUUGCAAAAUCAGUC